UUGCGGUCAAGUGACCUCACACGACUUUUUUUAUCCUCGUGUUUGGACAAUAUUUUUUGAAGUGUUUCGUGAAUUUGGAUUAUUAAUUUCGACGCGGUUUUAAAAGCUUGGAAUACUAUUGCGUAAAGAUUUUCUUUAGUAAUGACACUGUUAGUCGCAAUGUUGCUGUAGGCCAUUAGCAUUGACCGUACAGAUGUGCUAAUAGUUUUUCAUGGUGGUUUAUAGUUGGAUAUUUUAAAUUUCAUACAAUAGCAUGGAUAAAACUUUCAUGAAGAACAGACCAUUUAUAAUCUUCAUUAUUGGAAUUGAUUAGACUAUCUGUCAGUCUGAAUAUUUUAAGUGGACAACCUUCAUCAGCUGUGUCACAUAACAACAAACAUUUUGAGACAUAUCUCGAAUAAUAUAUACAGUUAAAAAUAAAUGAAAUCAGUGCUAUACAUACUGUUUUGUGAAAAAUAUGAUUGACAAAAUGCAUUUUUUUAAGUUUUUUUU